rnacentral:rRNA from 1 species
UACGUAGGGUGCAAGCGUUGUCCGGAAUUAUUGGGCGUAAAGAGCUCGUAGGCGGUCUGUCACGUCGGCUGUGAAAUCCCGAGGCUCAACCUCGGGUCUGCAGUCGAUACGGGCAAACUAGAGUAUUGCAGGGGAGACUGGAAUUCCUGGUGUAGCGGUGAAAUGCGCAGAUAUCAGGAGGAACACCGGUGGCGUAGGCGGGUCUCUGGGCCAAAACUGACGCUGAGGAGCGAAAGCGUGGGGAGCGAACAGG